rnacentral:miRNA from 1 species
AUACGGUGAUGAGUUUAAACAG